UGUGUAACGAGUGUUGCAGUAAUUGUAUGCUCUCCUGAUAAGACAUCACUUAUGUGCAUUGUGCGGUGUUUUUGAGAGCUGUUAAGGAGGUGCUGCUGUAUUUUAUGAAGGAGAAAGCAUACAUGGAAAGGUAAAAAGAGUUUUUCAACUCUUAUCAGCUGAGACUGCAAGAACAGCUUUUAGGGCCUGCAGAUGGUGCCGGCAGCUGGAAAAAGCAGCAUCAGUUCCUGCUUGGGGAAGGAGUGACAGAAUACAAGUCCAGGAGGAGCAGGGCUGUGUCUGGCACCAACAUAUUGCAACAUGGGGAUUGCUGAGAGCAGGGGAAGCAGGUUCAGGGAGAGCAUGCCUUAGUGUGUAUUUUAGCUUCUGUGUUGCUGAAAAGCAGCAGGGAAUGGGAACUUACAUUUUCUAUAUGACUUUUUCUACCUUACUUCUGUGUGCGUUAGAUAUUGGUGUCACUUUAAGACAAACAAGGUGUUAACAGUGCGAGAGAAGAGAAAAACCUCAUUUUCCCACCAGUGCUCUCCUCCUGCAAGAUGGAGCCCACACCACUUUUUUUCUCAGGGCAAACGUGUGGAAUGCCACCCGUAUCCAGCAGGCUCCCUGACCAUUAGAUCCAAACAGAAAAGUCCAAGAAAUUCCCUCGCCUUUCUUCCCUGCCAUUCCUGUGUGUUGCUGUGGAGGUGGGAGGUGUGAUGCGCUCCUGGAGUGCUCUUUGGGUGAGCAGAUGUUUGGCUGUGGGAGCAGCCAGAGACUGCUGCAAGCUCUUUUCCAGCUGACAACCUUUUCAGGUCUGACUGCAGCCAGGAGUGUGGCGAUACGUGAAGACCUUGAUAAGAGCUAGCCUGGACGUUAAUAGCAGGAAUGAGGCUUUUGUUUUUGGAACAUGCAACUCCUGCCAGCAGACUUCAAUUCUUCUUUUUUCAGCUUCUUAAAUAUGUUUCGAAUAAAGUCGUUCUGGUCAUUCCAUUGAACAAUGACUCCGUGCCAAAGCAGAACUGGCUGCUCUCCUGGGUCUGCCAAGAAGCAGCUGAAGAUAACAUUCUUAGGUAGGUUCAUGCAUUCCUCA
ensembl:lncRNA